rnacentral:lncRNA from 1 species
CCUCGGUUCAAGUCAUUGGUCCACCUCGGCCUCCCAAAGUGCUGGGAUUACAGGUGUGAGCCACCGUGCCCAGCGCGUUUUCUUUAAGGGGUAGAUGCCGGUGGCCGUCAUCAAAGUAAUUCUAAUGCUAUUUAAAAUUCUUAUCUCUUGAGAAGAAUAGAGAUGAUCCUUUAAUGUUCUUUUACACAUUUUUCAAUGUUUUCCUUGCAACUGUAACAAGCAAACUCAUGUCAUCAAUAGCCAUAUUAUGACCGUAAUCAGUGAUCAGUAUGUGGAAGGAAGCCUAACUUGGUGACUAACAGCACACACAUGGCUUUAAACCUGGCUCAGUCACUUACCACUGCAUGACCUUGCGCAAGCUGCUAAAUGCCUCUGUGCCUCAGUUUUUUUCAUCUAUAAAAUGGGGCUAAUGAUAGUGCAUACCUCAUUAGGUUCUUGGGAGUAUAAAAUAUGUUACUAUAUACGACAUGCUUAAAACAGUGACGGGCACAUGGUAAGUGUGAGCUCUCAUACUAAUGAAUGAAUAACUCAUUGAACUAAGCAACACCAAGCAGACAAGGCAGCAUCUAGAAACUUGGGUUUUCAAUGGGCUACAAUAAUAUAGCAAUGAGCUUGGAAUGGUGCCUUGUGCAUAGUCAGUGUUCAAUGUUAGCAACUCGUAAUAUGGACACCUGGGCCCCACUUUUGCUUGGAACUGUUUUAUAUGACCUUGACUUAAUCCAUCCAAAGCUCAGCUACAUUACAUUUUGCUUCCUUUCUUCCAUCUUUGGUGUUUAUGCGGAAAAGACCCAACCCCAGGUCAGAGAAAGUCCUCCACUAACACUGUGAGAUGCAAGUCACAUUCGGUAUAUGACCAGUAAAUUGGGUCCCACUUUGGAGUUCUUCUCCCAUUUCAUUAUCCUUCUGCAAAUUUUCCUUGUGUCUGCCCUUUAUAUGUGCUCAAGACUUCAAAUCAUGGGGCCAUCUGCACUCUUUAAAACUUUCAUUCAGUCGUACUUCUAUUUUGCACAUAAGGAAACACAAGUACAAACGAUAAUGUGCAAAGCAGGUAUGAAAUUAAUCAGGCUUGUCAUGGACGGUCACUGGGCUCACAAGCUACAGGUCGCACAUGGGUGACUGUCAACAGUUGGCUGGACACUGAUAGAGAGUUACACCAAUCGAGUGUCUUCUUCCAAAAACUUAGAAUCAGGUAGACGCCAAUGUUUUCUUAGGUAUUCUUAGUAAAUAGACUUUUUUGAGCAGAUUAGAAAAGGAACGAUUUAUUUUUGAAAUAAUGCUAGUAAAAUAUAUAAAUUCAGCUUUUAUGAGAUUUUCUUACUGUUAUAAUGUUUUCCUCUAUUCUGAAUUCAAAGUGAACUUUUAAAAUGUCUAAAAACCAUGCUUUGCCUAAGUAUUCAUAAGCCAUGUGUGAUACGUGUCCAUCAUUUGACAAUGGCCAGAGUUUACUAGUGUAAUUUUCAAGUAUCAGUCCCUGUGCCAGGUUAAUGGAUUUAAGAAAAAAAACAAAAACCAACACCUUAAUUUCUAAGAUCUGGCCUUUUAACCUUUUAGGAAAUGAAAGGAUUUAAAUAGCCUGCUGAUAUAUCUCAUAGUGUGUCUACCCUGCAAUUCCACUAGCACGGUGUGAAUGAGCCUGAUUCACUGCUGGAGUGAGGGAGGUUAGGAGAUCCUGAUAAACUCAGAUAACAUGUAAAGAAAAUGCUUAGCAACUGGUGGCCCAGGAGCAUUCAGAAGGCUUGCAAGGGCAAAGCACUUAUAAUCAUGAAAUGAGAAGGGAUGUUACUGACAAUAACCAACUGAUUGAUAACAUCUAGUUAUAAUAGAGUCUAGUUAAGUGCACUCACAAAACAGCUAUAUGAUGCCACAGGUAAAAUGAAACUUUGAAAGAAAGCUAGUCCAUAUAUGGUAAAUAUGCUUCAAGCUGUAAGAGAUAAAAAUAAUAAAUAUGGCCAGGCACAUAGCUCAUGCCUGUGAUCCCAGCACUUGGGAGGCCAAAGCUGGAGGAUUCCUUGAGCCUUGAAGUUUGAGACUAGCCUAGGUGACAGAGCAAGACCUUGUCUCUACAAAAAAUUAAAAGAAAAAAAUUAUCUGGGAGUGGUGGCACAGGCCUGUAGUCCCACAUACUCAUGAGGCCCAGGCAGAAGGAUUGCUUGAGUCCAGGGGU